rnacentral:rRNA from 1 species
CCUACGGGUGGCAGCAGUGGGGAAUAUUGCACAAUGGGGGAAACCCUGAUGCAGCGACGCCGCGUGAGUGAAGAAGUAUUUCGGUAUGUAAAGCUCUGUCAGCAGGGAAGAAAAUGCCGGUACCUGACCAAGAAGCCCCGGCUAACUACGUGCCAGCAGCCGCGGUAAUACGUAGGGGGCAAGCGUUAUCCGGAUUUACUGGGGGUAAAGGGGGCGUAGACGGCAAGGCAAGUCUGGAGUGAAAGGCGGGGGGUCAACCCCCGGGGUGCGCUGGAAAAUGCCAGGCUUGAGUGCAGGAGAGGUAAGUGGAAUGCGUGGUGUAGCGGUGAAAUGCGUAGAUAUUAGGAGGAACACCAGUGGCGAAGGCGGCUUACUGGACUGUAACUGACGUUGAGGCUCGAAAGCGUGGGGAGCAAACAGGAUUAGAUACCCUAGUAGUC